rnacentral:rRNA from 1 species
UACGGAGGAUGCAAGCGUUAUCCGGAAUGAUUGGGCGUAAAGCGUCCGCAGGUGGCAAUGUAAGUCUGCUGUUAAAGAGUCUAGCUCAACUAGAUAAAAGCAGUGGAAACUACAUAGCUAGAGUACGUUCGGGGCAGAGGGAAUUCCUGGUGUAGCGGUGAAAUGCGUAGAGAUCAGGAAGAACAUCGGUGGCGAAGGCGCUCUGCUGGACCAUAACUGACACUCAGGGACGAAAAGCUAGGGGAGCGAAUGGG